rnacentral:rRNA from 1 species
GACGAACGCUGGCGGCGUGCUUAACACAUGCAAGUCGAGCGGAGCGGCGAACGGGUGAGUAACGCGAGCGUAACUGCCCCCCUCUCUGGGAUCACAGUUGGAAACGGCUGCUAAUACCGGAUAGUGGGGGAUGACUCGCGUCCAAUCAGCUUGUUGGUUGGGUAGUGGCCUACCAAGGCGACGACGGGUAGCCGGCCUGAGAGGGCGACCGGCCACCUGGGUCUGCGAUACGGCCCAAUCUCCUACGGGACGCAGCAGUGGGGAAUAUUGCACAGUGGGGGAGACUCUGAUGCAGCAACGCCGCGUGCGGGAUGACGGCCUUCGGGUUGAAAACCGCUUUCAGCCAUGACGCGGUAGUGGCAGAAGAAGCACCGGCUAACUUCGUGCCAGCAGCCGCGGUAAUUC